UACGUAGGGUGCAAGCGUUAAUCGGAAUUACUGGGCGUAAAGCGUGCGCAGGCGGUUUUGUAAGUCUGACGUGAAAGCCCCGGGCUUAACCUGGGAAUUGCGUUGGAGACUGCAAGGCUUGAAUCUGGCAGAGGGGGGUAGAAUUCCACGUGCAGCAGUGAAAUGCGUAGAGAUGUGGAGGAACACCGAUGGCGAAGGCAGCCCCCUGGGUCAAGAUUGACGCUCAUGCACGAAAGCGUGGGGAGCAAACAGG
rnacentral:rRNA from 1 species